GUCAGGGUGCCCUGCUUACUCCGCCUCAGCACCUGCAUCAUGCUCCAGCACAUGAAGGCCACGGAGGCCAGGACCACGAGGUAGACCACGAAGGCGCCGAAGAUACUGGACUGGAACACGGUCCAGUGGCUGGACAGGUAGCCUUUCUUCUGUAGCACCUGGGUGACCCGAAUGGUGACACUGUUCCCCAGGAUGCCCACCACGAAGAUAACCAGUUUCACUCGGCUGCCCAGGCCCCUCCCCAGGCAGCGGCGGCGGGGAAUCUCUAACUGCGGACGUGUAGAUGCAUAAGGAUGGCGCCAUCCACCCGGGCGCUUCUGGCAGGAAGAGCGUCCCCAGUCCUCCUCCGAGGGAGCUGCGACCGGGACAUCUAGGGCAGCAGGAGGGGUAAACAUGACAUUAAGGAUUAUGACAUUUCUCUCUUCUCUGAGAGGAAAACCUCUAAUGGACCCAUCUUCCUCUUCUAAUUCUAAAAUCCGAAGAACACUGCCGCACUCGGGGGUGGAGUGAGGAGGUGGAGGUGUGUGGUGUUGGGGGGAGGCUGUCUUAUGCACUGUAGAAUAUUUAGCAUCCCCAGGUCUCCUGCACCCCCAUACCCAACCGUCACCCAACAAGGACAGCCAGGAUGUCUCCAGAUGUUGCCAGUUGUCCUCUGAGGAAGCAGAACUGGCCCAGGUGGAGAGCCACUGCCUUGAAGGAAGAAAAUAGAUCCUCUUUAUCUGUUCAUCCUGAGGGCCUAGCACAGGCCUGUCCAAAGAGAGUCCUUAAAUUAUCACAGAUUUUAUUUUCUUGGGUUCCAAAAUCAGUCUGGACAGUGACUGCUGCCAUGAAAGUUAUGACAAACCUAGGCAGCGUAUUAAAAAGCAAAGACAUCACUUUGCUGACAAAGCUAUGGUUU